GGUUGACCUCGGAUCAGGUAGGGAUACCCGCUGAACUUAAGCAUAUCAAUAAGCGGAGGAAAAGAAACCAACAGGGAUUGCCUCAGUAACGGCGAGUGAAGCGGCAAGAGCUCAAAUUUGAAAGCUGGCCCCUUCGGGGUCCGCAUUGUAAUUUGCAGAGGAUGCUUCGGGAGCGGCCCCCAUCUAAGUGCCCUGGAACGGGCCGUCAUAGAGG
rnacentral:rRNA from 1 species